rnacentral:rRNA from 1 species
UACAGAGGGGGCAAGCGUUGUUCGGAAUUACUGGGCGUAAAGGGCGCGUAGGCGGCCUUCUAAGUCGAACGUGAAAUCCCCGGGCUCAACCCGGGAACUGCGUCCGAUACUGGAAGGCUUGAAUCCGGGAGAGGUAUGCGGAAUUCCAGGUGUAGCGGUGAAAUGCGUAGAUAUCUGGAGGAACACCGGUGGCGAAGGCGGCAUCCUGGACCGGCAUUGACGCUGAGGCGCGAAAGCCAGGGGAGCAAACGGG